rnacentral:rRNA from 1 species
CUACGGGAUGCUCCAGUGAGGAAUAUUGCACAAUGGGGGAAACCCUGAUGCAGCAACGCCGCGUGGAGGAUGACGCAUUUCGGUGUGUAAACUCCUUUUAUCAGAGAAGAAAAUGACGGUAUCUGAUGAAUAAGCUCCGGCUAACUCCGUGCCAGCAGGCCGCGGUAAUAGGGAGGGAGCAAGCGUUAUUCGGAAUCACUGGGCGUAAAGGACGCGUAGGCGGGUUUUUAAGUCAGGUGUGAAAUCCUAUGGCUCAACCAUAGAACUGCACUUGAAACUGGGGACCUAGAGUAUGGAAGGGGCAGGUGGAAUUAGUGGUGUAGGGGUAAAAUCCGUAGAUAUCACUAGGAAUACCGAAAGCGAAGGCGACCUGCUGGGACAUUACUGACGCUGAGGCGUGAAAGCGUGGGGAGCAAACAGGAUUAGAUACCCUCGUAGUC